rfam:Microgenomates (Collierbacteria) bacterium GW2011_GWC2_44_18 TW41_C0004, whole genome shotgun sequence.
GGGCCCGUAGUUCACCGGUAGAAUGCGCCCAUGGCAUGGGCGAGAAAAGGGUUCAAUUCCCUUCGGGUCCA